rnacentral:rRNA from 1 species
AUGAACGCUGGCGGCGUGCCUAAUACAUGCAAGUAGAACGCUGAAGGAGGAGCUUGCUCUUCUGGAUGAGUUGCGAACGGGUGAGUAACGCGUAGGUAACCUGCCUGGUAGCGGGGGAUAACUAUUGGAAACGAUAGCUAAUACCGCAUGACAACAGUUAUUGCAUGAUAACUGUUUAAAAGGGGCAACUGCUCCACUACCAGAUGGACCUGCGUUGUAUUAGCUAGUUGGUGAGGUAACGGCUCACCAAGGCGACGAUACAUAGCCGACCUGAGAGGGUGAUCGGCCACACUGGGACUGAGACACGGCCCAGACUCCUACGGGAGGCAGCAGUAGGGAAUCUUCGGCAAUGGACGGAAGUCUGACCGAGCAACGCCGCGUGAGUGAAGAAGGUUUUCGGAUCGUAAAGCUCUGUUGUAAGAGAAGAACGAGUGUGAGAGUGGAAAGUUCACACUGUGACGGUAUCUUACCAGAAAGGGACGGCUAACUACGU